rnacentral:misc_RNA from 1 species
AAGUGUAAAGCGGCUUUCAGUAGUGCGCGUGGACAACAAAACCGGCCGCACGCGCCACCUCCAUAUUGCAUAAGGCCAAAAUUGGCCGGUCAAAAAUGUUAAGCUGUGGUAGAGUUAUCGGACAAUUGCCAAAACUUACGAGGCAUUCGCAUCUUAAUCAUUUCUGCCGACCUUUAAAAUAUAUUGGAAUUACUAGUGUUAAUAAUUCAUGGUAUAGUAGCAACUCAGAUGACAAGAAAACUUAUAAGCCAGCAGGCACCACCAUAAAACCAGAAGAAUGUGUACCUGACAAAACUAGUUCAAAACCAAAAAGAUCUCUACCGUCUUGUGAAUCUUAUCCUAAUGCAUCUUGUCCACCAUCUUGUUAUGAAGUUUGUCAACCAGAUUCACAGAGUCCUAAUGGUAAACCACCAUCACCACCUUAUUGGAAGAUAUUGGCAACUUUAAUUAUAGCUGGAGUUACAAUAUAUGCGAUAUCUUCCACAAAUUGGUUUACAUCUAAGAAAUCAGAUUCUGAAAAGGAUGUAGGUAAAAAGGAGAGAAAACAUAGAAAAUCUGAUAAGGCUAAAUUACCACCUACUUCUAGUUCAUUCCCCAAAGAUGUACCUUACCUUUUAAUAGGUGGAGGAACAGCUGCAUUUUCUGCAUUUAGGUCUAUUAAAUCUAGGGAUCCUAGAGCUAAGGUUUUAAUAAUAACAGAAGAAGAAGAUUUACCAUAUAUGAGACCACCAUUGUCCAAGGAACUAUGGUACAAUACAGAUAGAAAAACAAGUGCUGAGUUACUUUUUAAGCAAUGGAAUGGAGCUCAAAGAAGUAUAUUUUAUGAGCCACCCGAAUUUUAUUCAGAAGUUGAUAAGUUGAUUGAGUCGGAAAAAGGUGGUGUAACUGUAGCAACAGGUUGGAAAGUCACAAAAAUUGAUGUCCCAAACAAAACUGUAACGUUAGAUGAUGGUUAUGAAAUAAAAUAUGACAAAUGUCUUAUUGCAACUGGUGCAUCACCUAAAAAUCUUCCAGUAUUUGAGUCACUUCAAGAUGAAGUUAAAGAUAAAAUUAAAACAUUUAGAACAAAAGAAGAUUUUCUUGAUUUGGAAGAAAGUGUGCAUAAUCCUAAAUGUAAAAAUAUAGUAAUAAUUGGCGGAGGAUUUCUCGGAACAGAACUCGCUUGCUCUCUUGCUCGUAAUUUACCUGAAAACAAAAAAGUACAUCAAGUAUAUAAGGAGAAAUUUAUAAUGGAUCAAAUAUUACCACAAUAUUUAAGCGAAUGGGCAACAGAAAAAGCAAAAUUAGAGGGCGUUAAUUGUAUUCCUGAUUCUGAGGUCGAGGAUUAUUAUUAUAAGAAUGGACGUUUAUCGCUUACUCUUACAGGAGAUAAUGUUAUUGAGGCUGAUGAAGUAAUAGUAGCAGUAGGCGUUGAACCAAAUACGGAAUUGGCGAAAGUUUCGCAUUUAGAAACAGAUCCUGAAAUAGGCGGCUUCCUGGUUAAUGCAGAACUAGAAGCAAGAAGCAACCUUUGGGUUGCUGGAGAUGCAGCUUGCUUUUAUGAUAUCAGGCUUGGUAGAAGAAGAGUAGAACAUCAUGACCAUGCUGUAAUUUCAGGAAGGCUAGCAGGAGAAAAUAUGACUGGUGCAAGAAAACCAUAUCUGCACCAGUCGAUGUUUUGGUCCGAUUUAGGACCGGAAGUUGGAUUUGAGGCAAUAGGUAUUGUCGAUUCUGCACUGCCAACUGUAGGUGUCUUUGUAAAAACAGAAAAAACUGAUGAUACUUCACUAACAGCCAUCGAUACUUCGAGUAAAACAACGCAGUCCUCAGAUAAAGAGAAGGUAACAACGCAAACAGAAAAUUCGGAUCAACAAAAUUCGAAAGAAGAUGAUAGAUGUAUACGUACUGAUGCUUCAAAAUCGACAGAAGAAACCUCUAAAAAGUAUGAAGACUUUGGAAAAGGAGUUAUUUUUUAUUUACGUGAUGAUAUUGUGGUUGGAAUAGUCCUUUGGAAUAUCUUUAACCGGAUGUCUAUUGCUAGACAGGUACUUGCUAAGGGCACAAAAUAUGAUGAUUUAAAUGAAGUAGCCAAACUAUUUACUAUUCACGAUGACUGAUUCCAUUAGUGCAAAAAUGAAAUGACAAUAUUGCGUCAUUUGUGUAUAUAUGAUUAUUUAUCUACUAAUUCUGAAAGAUUUUACCAAUAAAAAAAUCUAAAAUCUUGUUACUAAGUUUGAAAGGAAGAUCAGAAAACAGAAGGAUGCACUCGUUGAAACCAGAAGUUAACAGAGAAUCGCGUA